rnacentral:tRNA from 1 species
AUUUAUAUAGUUUAAAAAUAAAACAUUAUAUUUUCAAUAUAAAAUUAUUAUAAAUUAAUUAUAAAUU